GUCAUGGAGAAGCACACUAAUAUUCCUUUGCAGCAAGGAGACAGGAUAUGAGCCCAGGCUCCCCCAUCUCUGUGACAUGAUAAGGAGAACAGCAGUACCAGACCAGUGGCCAGGCCAGAUAAACCAUGGUGAGUGGGCGGGUUGUGUUGUUCUCUAACUACUCCUUUGCAGUAUGUAGCCCAAGUAACUCCUGACGCCCUUACUGCGCAGCUAAGCUGCUUUUUAGUUAAAACCCAGAACCCCAGCAACAAACUGGAAAGAAAAAUGGAGGGCUUAGAAAAGGACCAUCCUUACUCGGAAUCUUCCCAGCAGCAUCCACCAGCCAGAGAGGAACACACUGUGCCAGGGGCCAUCACGCACCGCCUGCGAGACCGAGAGCUGCUGCGGAAAAGGAAAGCGGAGGCACAGGAGAAAGAUACUGUCCAAGAGCAAGGUACGAGCAAAGGGCCAAAGAGGGGCCGAGGAGCUGGGAGAAGAAGAGGCCGACAGCGGGGUACAGAGCCAGAGCCUCAGCCUGAAGUGCAAGAGGAGCUGGAGACGGAGCCCCCAGAGAAAGCACAGGCAUCUCCAGGGCACCACGAGGAGGAGCCCGCCCUGUCUGUGACUCAAGAGCUGUCUGGUGGGACUCAGCAGGAGGUGGUGGAGGGCCCACGAGCUGAGGAUACUCUGCAUCCAGCAGGUAAGUGGUUAGAGACCCUCAGGGAUCAGAGCAUAUUCCCAGAGAACUCUCCCCGGGUGCAUCCUUGGGGAGGAGAGGAACUGCCCAGCCAGGCAGUGGAGCAGUGACUGGCUAGCUGCAGAGCCUUUUCCUCGCUCAAGCCUGCACUUGGACACUGCAGUGACAGAUACAGCAACCUCCUGGCACCCCACUUGCUGAGCCAGUCUGUUCAAAACAGCAACCCCUGGGAAGGCCCCGCUUCCCUGGCCACAAGUGCCCCAAGGCGGGAGUGGAGCUGAUGGCUCUGUCCAGGCCUUUGGGGAAUUUCUCUACCCUGGAGGUCCCCGCAGCAGGGGUGUCCCAGACAAUCAGUGCAGAGGGGGCAGAGCCGAGCAGGGAACUGGGCCUGGGCAACAAGAAGGGGAUCCCGCCAAGUCCAGACCCAAGAGGAACCCAUCCAUCACCAGUGCAGCCUGGAAAUGGCAGGUAUGGAGAUUCUGGGGCCCAAGGCUCAGAGCUGUAACAAGGAAUUUUUGUGCCCAAGGCAAAGGCCGGUUCCAGGCUCUUCAACGGCAAUUCGGCGGUGGGUCCCUGAGUCCCUGUAGGAGACCAAUUCAGUUGCAUGUCCUUCCCUCCGAGAGGGACUCAGGGACCCGCCGCCGAAUUGCUGCCGAUCACGGUAGAGCUGUGCCCCUCCGCUUUGCGUGCCCGAGGCAAGUACCUCACUCACCUCGCCCUUGUUACAGCACUGCCAAAGGUUCUCCCCAUAGGUGCCCCAUGGGACAGCUACAGAGAUAACAGGGUCCCUGUAUUACCUGGGCCUCUUCCUGGCUCACAAGGAACUCACUGGGACUAGCGCUAUCGACACCAGGCCGUUCAUGUUUAUUCCACAGGGCGCUUCCUGGAGAUUGGGCUGAGAUUCCUAGAGGUGGCUAUGGGAUUUGGGUGCCAUUUCCCAUUGACAUUGAUGGAAAUUGAACAUCCACCUUCCCUGGGGGCUUUGAAACCAUCCUCUUAGGGCCAGCAUGUCAGAAGUGCUGGGUGCCUGCUACGCCCAUUGACCUCCAUUGGAGUCCAGAA
ensembl:lncRNA